rnacentral:rRNA from 1 species
UACGAAGGGGGCGAGCGUUGUUCGGAAUUACUGGGCGUAAAGGGCGCGCAGGCGGCCCCUGAAGUCAGGCGUGAAAGCCCUGGGCUCAACCUGGGAAUUGCGCUUGAUACUCUGGGGCUGGAGUGCGGGAGAGGAGAGUGGAAUUCCCAGUGUAGAGGUGAAAUUCGUAGAUAUUGGGAAGAACACCGGUGGCGAAGGCGGCUCUCUGGACCGUAACUGACGCUGAGGCGCGAAAGCGUGGGGAGCAAACAGG